rnacentral:tRNA from 1 species
GCCCGUUUAGCUCAGCGGUUAGAGCAUCACAUUUGUAAUGUGACGGUCAUCGGUUCAAUUCCGAUAGCUGGCU